rnacentral:rRNA from 1 species
AGCGAACGCUGGCGGCGUGCUUAACACAUGCAAGUCGAGCGAAGGUGUUUCAAGGGUAACCUUGAGAUACACUUAGCGGCGGACGGGUGAGUAAUACGUGGAUAACUUACCUCUAGGCCUGGGAUAACCCCGGGAACUGGGGCUAAUACCUGAUAAGACCACAUUGUCUACGGACAAAGGGGUAAAAGGUGGCUGUGCAAACAGCUAUCGCCAAAAGAUAGGUUCACGUCCCAUCAGGCAGUUGGUGAGGUAAUGGCUCACCAAACCAAAGACGGGUAGCCGGCCUUGGCGGGUGAACGGCCACACGGGGACUGAGACACGGCCCGACUCCUACGGGAGGCAGCAGUGGGGAAUAUUGGGCAAUGGGCGCAAGCCUGACCCAGCGACGUCGCGUU